AUGAACGCUGGCGGCGUGCCUAAUACAUGCAAGUCGAGCGAACAGACGAGGAGCUUGCUCCUCUGACGUUAGCGGCGGACGGGUGAGUAACACGUGGAUAACCUACCUAUAAGACUGGGAUAACUUCGGGAAACCGGAGCUAAUACCGGAUAAUAUAUUGAACCGCAUGGUUCAAUAGUGAAAGACGGUUUUGCUGUCACUCAUAGAUGGAUCCGCGCCGCAUUAGCUAGUUGGUAAGGUAACGGCUUACCAAGGCAACGAUGCGUAGCCGACCUGAGAGGGUGGUCGGCCACACUGGAACUGAGACACGGUCCAGACUCCUACGGGAGGCAGCAGUAGGGAAUCUUCCGCAAUGGGCGAAAGCUUGACGGAGCAACGCCGCGUGAGUGAUGAAGGUCUUCGGAUCGUAAAACUCUGUUAUUAGGGAAGAACAAAUGUGUAAGUAACUAUGCACGUCUUGACGGUACCUAAUCAGAAAGCCACGGCUAACUACGUG
rnacentral:rRNA from 1 species